rnacentral:rRNA from 1 species
GAUGAACGCUGACAGAAUGCUUAACACAUGCAAGUCUUUGGCGAAUCUGUGCUUGCACCGGCUAGCCAAGGCGGACGGGUGAGUAACGCGUAAAGAACUUGCCCUGCAGACAGGGAUAACAGACGGAAACGACUGAUAACACCUGAUACAGUUGCCGGCACGCAUGUGCCUGGCAAUGAAAAGAGAUGCUGCAGGAGAGCUUUGCGUCCUAUUAGCUUGUUGGUGAGGUGACGGCUCACCAAGGCGAUGAUAGGUAGCCGGCCUGAGAGGGUGAACGGCCACAAGGGGACUGAGAUACGGCCCUUACUCCUACGGGAGGCAGCAGUGGGGAAUAUUGGACAAUGGGGGCAUCCCUGAUCCAGCAAUUCUGUGUGCACGAAGAAGGUUUUCGGAUUGUAAAGUGCUUUCAGCAGGGAAGAAGAAAGUGACGGUACCUGCAGAAGAAGCGACGGCUAAAUACGUG